GAGUAACACGUGGGUAACCUGCCCAUAAGACUGGGAUAACUCCGGGAAACCGGGGCUAAUACCGGAUAACAUUUUGAACCGCAUGGUUCGAAAUUGAAAGGCGGCUUCGGCUGUCACUUAUGGAUGGACCCGCGUCGCAUUAGCUAGUUGGUGAGGUAACGGCUCACCAGGGCAACGAUGCGUAGCCAACCUGAGAGGGUGAUCAGCCAUACUGGGACUGAGACACGGCCCAGACUCCUACGGGAGGCAGCAGUUGGGAAUCUUCCGCAAUGUACGAAAGUCUGACGGAGCAACGCCGCGCUGAGUGUGAAGGCUUUCGGGUCGUAAACUCUGUUGUUAGAGGAGAACAAGUCCUAGUUGAAUAAGCUGCUACCUUGACGGUACCUAACCAGAUAGCGACGUCUAACUACGUGCCAGCAGCGGCGGUAAUACGUAGGUGGUACGCGUUAUACGGCAUUAUCGGGCGUAAGGCGCCGCGCAGGGUGGUUUCUUAAGUCUGAUGUG
rnacentral:rRNA from 1 species